UACGAAGGGGGCUAGCGUUGUUCGGGAUUACUGGGCGUAAAGCGCACGUAGGCGGACUGUCAAGUCAGGGGUGAAAUCCCGCGGCUCAACCUCGGAACUGCCUCUGAUACUGGCAGUCUAGAGUCCGGAAGAGGUGAGUGGAAUUCCUAGUGUAGAGGUGAAAUUCGCAGAUAUUAGCAAGAACACCGGUGGCGAAGGCGGCUCACUGGUCCGGAACUGACGCUGAGGUGCGAAAGCGUGGGGAGCAUACAGG
rnacentral:rRNA from 1 species